UACGAAGGGGGCUAGCGUUGCUCGGAAUUACUGGGCGUAAAGGGAGCGUAGGCGGAUAGUUCAGUCAGAGGUGAAAGCCCAGGGCUCAACCUUGGAAUUGCCUUUGAUACUGGCUGUCUUGAGUAUGGGAGAGGUUAGCGGAACUCCGAGUGUAGAGGUGAAAUUCGUAGAUAUUCGGAAGAACACCAGUGGCGAAGGCGGCUAACUGGCCCAUUACUGACGCUGAGACGCGAAAGCGUGGGGAGCGAACGGG
rnacentral:rRNA from 1 species